AUCAAAGUGCAAAGGAAGACAUGGGCUGUGUCUCCUGUCUGAGUCCCAAAGGGAGCCGUCCAGUCAAGCACAGGCGAACUGACUGCUUCUCACCUUCAGUUGCUGCCCAGCAAGCCUCUGGCACCAGAACAGGGCAAGGAGUAGGUGGCUCAGGCUGUCCUUGCCUUCUCACACCGAUUUUCUAGAAGGUGUCCCAUCUGCCCAGCCAUUGUGUCCCCCAUGCCUCCUAGUAAUAAACUUGGUGUUGUCCCUGUAAA
rnacentral:lncRNA from 1 species